rnacentral:tRNA from 1 species
GCUCAGCCAUUUUACC